rnacentral:lncRNA from 1 species
AGGUCUUGUCCCUCCUGCAGACCCCUGAUACGUCGUGCCAUUCUCUAAAUACUGUGCAUCUUGUGAAUUUGUGUGACAUUCGAUUCAAACCUUUUGUUGCCAACGUGACGUGCUCUUUGUACAAUGACGUGUCCUAAGUACUACCUAAGGAGCGUGCAAUUGCCUUGUGUAAAGUACUCACCGAGUGCAAUGCACAAAACAAGUGGAUGUGGGAACAAAUUUGCCUGGAUGUCGUGGAUCUUAAUUACCACGCUGGUGCCGAUAUCGGUGAAGGUGAAGAGUGGAAUCUCCAUGCCUAGUUUAAUCGCGCUGGCAAUGCCUACUAUCAGGUCACUUUAGACCCACCAGAAACCUCAUGUCUUAACUCUCUGGGUAUGAAGGGACUCUUCACUAUACAACUGUACAAGAAUUCCUUGCCACUGCUCCAUUUAUUAAAGAAAAAACACUUAAGUAAAACGUGCUUACCUUAUGGACUCCAAUCAAUAAAAUGACGGCAGUAAUGGUCGCUAGAACACCGUUAAUAAAGUAGUCCAUUACCCACAAAAAGACCGCAAUUUUGGCACCUGAAAAGUAAAAAACAAGUUGGUGUCAACAACUCACGCGUCUGCGGAUUUCGAACACUGCAGUCCAGUUCAAUUCCUAGAACAUUUGGUAAUCCAAUUUAAAAUUCCAAUAGCCUGUGUCACACUAUCAAAAUUCACCAUCAAAAUGUCAAUGUCAAGUGCUAUGAUUGGUCCAAGUCAUCGAAUAAGGCAAUCACAACACCUGACCUUGAUAUUUUGAUGGCAAGCAUUGAUAGUGUGACACAGUCCACUGCAAGAUAAUUACAAAUGUCAGCUGCAUUUGGAUACUUCGCCGUUUCUCUCGCGAAAAAGCGUAACUCCAUUUCAAUGUUGCCCAAUUGGGCGUAUUUAUGCUAAAAGGAACUAAGUGCAUAGGUAUUGCGUGUGACAUAGUUCCUUUUAGCAUAGAUACAUCCAAUUCGCCCUCGUAAAUUUCUUAUGUAACGAGAAUCUUGGGCAUUCCUACCUGAAAAUUUCUCUGACUUUUCUCCAGAUUUUAUGCAAAAAUCAGAAAAGUUUAGGAUGCAAAUUGCACAUGUAUUUUUUUGUAAAAUAAAUCAAUUGUUUGAGUCAAUUUGACAAACUUGGAAUGGAGUUACGUUCUUUCGUCCAGGAGACGACGACUUAUAGUACGUCAGGAAAUAUCAUUUGAGGAGGAUUUUGAUGAAAAAAACCGCACAAUGAAUAUUUUAAUUUAUAUUAAAAAUAGUUAACUUAGACGAGUGAAUCUGUGGCUACAUCAAACAGUGACUGCAUACAGAGCUCUUGCGGUAUAUUCAUGAGUCCUCAAAAUAAAACACAGAUCAGGAGAAAGAGGAGAAUUUUUUCUAAAAAGUCUAGCAAGAAACAUAAUUUUUUUCUUCUAAUCGAAUGGCCUCGGUUUCAAGAGGUUAUACAUGUGCAAUUGGGCAUCUCCAAACAGAAAACGGCAGUUAAAUGUUUAAGGUAGACUCACUGAGGCUGCUGGUUGUAGCAAAAUUCAGUAGAGCAUCAGCGAUAGGCCAUUGAGCUAAAAGAUAAAUCCCUCCACAAACCUGUGUGAAACAAGAAAACAAACAAAAUUAGCAUAUAUCAUUUAAGUGAAUAAUGUACAAGUGCAUCAGCCUAGAAUUCAUAUUUACCCCUUUUUAACUGCUGCAGCGAAGACUAAAAAUAUACAGGGUGUCCGAAAGUUAACGUGCUUAACUUACAGGAUAAACUUUGCGGCUCAAAAUACGACUUUUUUCCCCGUACACAUGCCCAAGAACGCCUCAUAAAGGAGCCAUGCGUUACCAAAGUUGUCAUUUUUUCCUUUCAAGUUGAUAUAACUCCUCGUUAUUUUGUCGUAAGUAGCUGACAUUUUGUGUAUGGGGGUAUUUUUUAGCGUAUACUGCUAAUUUUUUGUGUUUUCAGAAAAAUGACUUGACGAGUAUUCCCGAAUUUUAAAAUUGCGAUAAAUUUUUUGGUAGAUGAUAUUUGGGAAAACGGAUUACGUGAAAGAGCGGAAAAAAUCAAGUGGAGCAGGCAUUGCACAACAUAUUCCAGAGAGGCGUCAUUUCGACGCAACAGAGCUUUGAAAAAGUUUCAGAUUUUUAAAGCUUCUUGCUGGGUGGGCAAGUUUUACUGUAAUAGGAGACUGUAGAAGGACUGUAAGGAAGCAUGGCGCAUAGCUCACCUAUGGAUCGAUUUUGGGCAUAUGUGUAUAGGGAGGUAAAGUCAUUUUGAGCCGAGAAAGCGAGCCUGAAAGUUAAGUACGUUAACUUCCAGACACCCUGUAUAAAAUGUACGCAGUUCGUAAAAACAUAUUAUCUAGGUGAAUCUUCAGCUGUAGUUCCGAAAAAUCCACCACGUCGCGCUGCUAGAAUCCGACUCUGAAAUCAGUGAUUAUUUAAAUAUCACAAUAGAUAUUUUAAAUUCUAAGACUCAUAAGUUCUAGCAGCAUACGUCUAGAAUCCUUAGAAAAAACGCAAGCUUUGAAAGUUUAAUAAUAAAAGCUAUAACUUGAUCCCAGUUUCUCUUACGGGAUAUCUGUAAGUGCGAGAGAGACAGCUCACGGCGGAAGAGAGAUAUCUGCAAGUGCCGAGAGCGAUCAAUCGCGAUCGGUUGCAUCAAGGUCAUCAUGCUCAACCCUACUUUUUUCUGGGAUCAAGUUUCAGAGCUUCAGAAAUUACUUUUCACGUCGUUUUUAGUGUCAAUAGGAAGAAGAAUGUCAUGCCUAGAACUUAUGACUCUUCGAUUUAAACAGAAAUUCCUUUAACUUUCAAAAAAGCUCAAGGACUCACGUGGAGCUGUACGGACUCAAAAAGUGUGGACCAAACGGAUUACAUGUUGCAAUAAGGAACCACUAUCUCUGGCUCUUUCAUAAAAACGCAUAUCCGCACAGGGAAACCAAUGGCACAUGUGUUGUUUCUAAAAUGAGCUAGAAAUAGUGGUUCCUUAUUGCAAAAUGUAAUCCAACAAUCAAGCGCCCCCUGCGCGGAGAAAUUUCUUACUUCACGGAGCUGUUGAUAAACCUUAAGGGUGAAACGAAAUUCGCCUCAAACACCCUCAGUCGAAAAAAAAAGAACAAAAUAAAACAUUCCGGAUUGGUCACUUUCAGGAUAAACAUGCACUGAAAAAAAAUCUCGGCGUAUUUACUAAGAAAAGGGUAAAAUUACCAAGAAUUCAGGGUUCUAUUUGAUCCCAGUUUUUUCUUGGUAAAAUUACCAUUUACGGAAUUGGUAAUUUUACCGAGAAAUCUCGGUAAAAUUAUUGAACUUUCUCGGUAAUUUUACUGGACCCCGGUAAAAACGCCAAUAUUUUUUAUGGACUGUGGUAAAAUUACCGAGAUAAAACGGCAAAGUUACCGGGAAUAGAUUGCCAAUAAAAGUGGUAUUCUUACCUGGAAAAAACAGUAAAAAUACCGGUUUUUAGGUAAGCUUACCAGUCUGUCUUGGUAAAAUUACCAAUAAUUUGUAAAAAAAGUGAGACGGUAAAGGUACCAACGGACCUUCGUAAAAACGCCGAGAAUUUUUUUUCAGUGUGUCAUGGUGUUGUUUUUGUUACAUUUUACGAGUUAUUUUUUAUACAAAUGCCUUAAUUUACAUUAAAUUGUUUUCGUUUUGGAGGCACUAAGGCUGCAUUAUACUUCUCAACCCUCAAGAGUGCUCGGAUCGAUUUGCCCCAAACUUCAAAUCAAGAAUUAUUUGGAACGAGAGAGAAAUCCAUUCGAAAUUGUUGCGGGUUGCAUAUUUGGCUCCUGCUAACUAUCAGAACUUGAACCCGAACACUUAAGGACCUUCAAAAUCGUAAAUCGUGAGGGUCGCAAUCAGCCAAACCGAAUGUAUUUGUGUAUUUUUGUCCGCCGGAAAUGACUAACGGCUGUAUUCAUAGCAGAGGCUUGGCGUGUUUAGCGAUACAUCGAUUGAUCCGCCAUUUAAACAUACGGAAGAGAAUCGAUAGGUAGCGUGUUCGCAACGAACACCUUAAUAAUCGAUUCUUCACCAUAGCUUCAAACGGGGGAAAUAUCGAUGAUCGAUCAUUUCGCAAACGACGAGUAAAAUUCAGCAGUGAAACUUUGUAAAUGGGUCCUUGAAGAGUAUUACCAUGGUUUACCACUAAAAAUACUUACAAACACAAAUCAUAGAGCUUCCUCUUCUCUAUAUUGUACUAAGUAAGUAAGUAAGUAAGUAAGUAAGUAAGUAAGUAAGUAAGUAAGUAAGUAAGUAAGUAAGUAAGUAAGUAAGUAAGUAAGUA